UACGUAGGGGGCGAGCGUUGUUCGGAAUUACUGGGCGUAAAGCGCGCGCAGGCGGCUAUCCAAGUCAGUGGUGAAAGCCCGGAGCUCAACUCCGGAACUGCCAUUGAAACUGUUUAGCUUGAGGAUGAGAGAGGUGAGUGGAAUUCCCAGUGUAGAGGUGAAAUUCGUAGAUAUUGGGAAGAACACCGGUGGCGAAGGCGGCUCACUGGCUCAUUACUGACGCUCAGGCGCGAUAGCGUGGGGAUCAAACAGG
rnacentral:rRNA from 1 species